CCUACGGGAGGCAGCAGUGAGGAAUAUUGGUCAAUGGCCGUAAGGCUGAACCAGCCAAGUAGCGUGAGGGAAGACUGCCCUAUGGGUUGUAAACCUCUUUUAUGCGGGGAUAAAGGUGUCCACGUGUGGAUGUUUGCAGGUACCGCAUGAAUAAGGACCGGCUAAUUCCGUGCCAGCAGCCGCGGUAAUACGGAGGAUCCGAGCGUUAUCCGGAUUUAUUGGGUUUAAAGGGUGCGUAGGCGGCCUUUUAAGUCAGCGGUGAAAGUCUGUGGCUCAACCAUAGAAUUGCCGUUGAAACUGGGGGGCUUGAGUAUGUUUGAGGCAGGCGGAAUUCGUGGUGUAGCGGUGAAAUGCUUAGAUAUCACGAAGAACCCCGAUUGCGAAGGCAGCUUACUAAACUGUGACUGACAUUGAUGCUCGAAAGUGUGGGUAUCAAACAGGAUUAGAUACCCUUGUAGUC
rnacentral:rRNA from 1 species